GCCUUCUUGGCUCAGAUGGCAGAGCGUCUGCCUAGUAAGCAGAAGGUCACCAGUUCGAUUCUGGUAGAAGGC
rnacentral:tRNA from 5 species